UCUCAAGAUUUAUUUCUAGACCUCCUAUUUAUAGAUAAAUUUUUUACCUUUUUUUGAUCACCAAAGGAGUCCUAAAACUCUUAAAAAUUGUAUAAUAACCUUAGAAUUAAUUUUUGACCGUCAGAUCUUAAAUGGACUACCCAGAUCUGAUCAAAAUUAAUGUUUUAAAUCCUUCUCUCAGUCAAAAUCCACCACAGCCAUUCGAUCAUGCGCUUGAUUUAUUUUUGGCCAUC
rnacentral:lncRNA from 1 species